rnacentral:rRNA from 1 species
AGUAGUUUGAUCCUGGCUACAGAACGAACGCUGGCGGCAGGCCUAACACAUGCAAGUCGAGCGCCCUUUCGGGGGAGCGGCGGACGGGUGAGUAACGCGUGGGAAUAUGCCCUUCUCUACGGAAUAGCCUCGGGAAACUGAGAGUAAUACCGUAUACGCCCUUAGGGGGAAAGAUUUAUCGGGGAAGGAUUAGCCCGCGUUGGAUUAGGUAGUUGGUGGGGUAAUGGCCUACCAAGCCGACGAUCCAUAGCUGGUUUGAGAGGAUGAUCAGCCACACUGGGACUGAGACACGGCCCAGACUCCUACGGGAGGCAGCAGUGGGGAAUCUUAGACAAUGGGGGCAACCCUGAUCUAGCCAUGCCGCGUGAGUGAUGAAGGCCUUAGGGUUGUAAAGCUCUUUCAGCUGGGAAGAUAAUGACGGUACCAGCAGAAGAAGCCCCGGCUAACUCCGCG